rnacentral:rRNA from 1 species
UACAGAGGGUGCGAGCGUUGUCCGGAAUCACUGGGCGUAAAGGGCGCGUAGGUGGUGGCUUAAGCGUGCGGUGAAAGCUCGGGGCUCAACUCCGAGUCGGCCGUGCGAACUGGGCUCACUGGAGCAUAGUAGAGGCAGGUGGAAUUCCGGGUGUAGCGGUGGAAUGCGUAGAGAUCCGGAAGAACACCGGUGGCGAAGGCGGCCUGCUGGGCUAUGGCUGACACUGAGGCGCGACAGCGUGGGGGAGCAAACAGG